rnacentral:rRNA from 1 species
GUGGGGAAUUUUGGACAAUGGGCGCAAGCCUGAUCCAGCAAUGCCGCGUGCAGGAAGAAGGCCUUCGGGUUGUAAACUGCUUUUGUACGGAACGAAACGGUCCGGGUUAAUACCCUGGGCUAAUGACGGUACCGUAAGAAUAAGCACCGGCUAACUACGUGCCAGCAGCCGCGGUAAUACGUAGGGUGCAAGCGUUAAUCGGAAUUACUGGGCGUAAAGCGUGCGCAGGCGGUUUUGUAAGACAGGCGUGAAAUCCCCGGGCUCAACCUGGGAAUUGCGCUUGGGACUGCAGUGCUGGAGUGCGGCAGAGGGGGAUGGAAUUCCGCGUGUAGCAGUGAAAUGCGUAGAUAUGCGGAGGAACACCGAUGGCGAAGGCAAUCCCCUGGGCCUGCACUGACGCUCAUGCACGAAAGCGUGGGGAGCAAACAGGAUUAGAAACCCGUGUAGUCC